rnacentral:lncRNA from 1 species
GCUAUUUCUUUGGGCCGCUCCCGCGGCAUAUGGAGAUUCCCAGGCUAGGGGUCUUAUCGGAGCUGUAGUCGCUGGCCUACACCAGAGCCACAGCAACGCGGGAUCCGAGCCGCGUCUGCAACCUACACCGCAGCUCACGGCAACGCCGGAUCGUUAACCCACCGAGCAAGGGCAGGGAUCGAACCUGCAACCUCAUGGUUCCUAGUCGGAUUCAUUAACCACUGCGCCACGAUGGGAACUCCUUCAGUGUUUUUUUAACAUAUGGUAUAGACUUUAAAUUUUUUCUCAUGGGUUUUGAUCUAAGCAGUUCCAGUUGAAUAAUUAUUGUCUUUUCCUUUGGACGUGUGUGUGUUUAUACCUCCCGUUACCAUUCAGUAUGUUAGGUCACAGGUUCUAUGAUAACGAAAAAGCAAAAAAUAAAAAAGAAAGCCACUGCAGCUCCCUCUGUGGCACAAUAGGAUCCAUGGCGUCUUAGGAGCACUGGGACACAGGUUUGAUUCCCAGUCCGGCACAGUGCAUGAGGAUCCAGCAUUGCUGCAGCUGUCUUAGGUCACAACUGCAGCUCAGAUACGAUCCCUAGACCAGGAACUCCCCAUGUUGCAGAGCAGCCAAAAAAAAAGAAAGAAAAAAAAAAUAGCAAAAUAAAGAAAGCCAUCUGGAAAGUUCUCCACCUAACAGUGAUCAAAUGUCCCGUCAUUAACCUGAAGUAUGGUUUUCUCUUAACACUGAAUUCAGCAAACCCUUUCAAGUAACUUUUAUGAACUAAAAUGCAGGAAAAAUAUUUAUUCCUCUUUUCAGGUGUUCAGUUUCAUGCACUAGCAAGGGACUACUCCCCUUGCAUUUCCUAUCUUUGCUAAAUGAAGGUAUCAUAGUCCACUAACUAACUCAGCCCAGAUAUAUGAAGGCUAUUCUUGAUUCCUGUUUGAACUACACUCUGCUAUGUUACAAAGCACUCUCACACUUUGUGACCUAAAAUGACAAUCACUAUCUGAAAAUUCUGUGGUUUGAGUGGGAAGUUUUUAUCCUUCACACGUAAAUAAAGCUGGGCUGCUGAGCUGGCUAGAGGUUAUGAAAUGACCUAACAUUCGGGAUUGGCUGGGAGCAAAGAUAGGACUGUUGGCUGCUGAUCUUGGAUUCACUCCACACAGUCUCUACGGCACUUCCUGGGCUUCCGCAUGGCCCGGAAGCGGUUCCAAGAAGGUACACUCUAACUGCAAACACUCCAGGAGGAUGAUCACCAAUAUGCCAACAUUUAUCAAACCUCUGCUUGAAUCUCACUUACCAAUGUCUCAUUAACUAGUAUCAACCACAAGGCCAAAUGGAGAUUUAACCAAAGGGGCUACACACCGGCCCAUGAACAGUCUGCCUCAAUCCUCCUUCCUUCACAAGCAAGUUCCUUUGAGUUCUCCUUUGAAAUAUUCCCCAAAUACACUUAUAUUACUCAUUUCAAUCAUUAGUUCUCUUUCACUUUAUUUUCUUUCUUUUUGGGUAAAUACCUGGCUGGUUUUUAAUUAAGGGGGAGGGGAGGAAGAGUGGCAUUUACUCAAUGGAUAAACAUGUCUUGAGAAGUCCUGAGGAAUACACUGCAGUUAGAACUGAGUGUGACACAUGGCUGAACAAGAUACUUCCUCUGCCCUGAGAGCUCAAAUACUGCAGGGAAAAAUAAAGAAAAAUACGUCCCAAGUGCCACAGACCUACCCUCCUAAUUCUAAUUCUUUUUCUAGCUUACAGAUUUCAACAUGUCACAACUCUGCUUAAACAUGUUCAGUGUUUGCCCCUGAGCACCAGAUGAGAUUCAAAUUCUGCAGCCCUUCCUUUAAGGUAACUCAAGCCAGACUUGCCAGGUUCAUGGUCCACUUCCCCUAAUUUACCUCUCAUUCUCUUUUGUGGCUCUGUGUCUUUAUCCCCACCCUUACCAUCUAGCCAGUGUUCUUUCCCAGCCCUCAGCUCCAGGGAUAUGUAAUUUUCUUUUCAGAGUCACAUUCAACUACUUUCCUACAAGGUCUCCCUAAAGACGGAAAGAAGGAAUCACACACAUACGCUUCUACAGACUGCAAUCAUCCCACUGUGGUUUGUGUGGUUGUCCUUUCAAUGGAUGGUAGGCUCCCUGUGGGCACCAUGUUUAUGGUUACGCAAUCUGGCAUUUGCCAGUCCUAAUACAGCUUGGUACCUAGGAGGAAAGAGAGGAAGAGGCCUCUCAUACAAUUUCUUUCAUUUCUAUGAAACGGGCUGUCUUUUGUGUACUGUCUUCGAAAGAAAAAUAUCACAGUUGUAAUUACAUAUUGAAUUUCAGACAUCAGAGCUUCUCCAAGAUAAAAUAUGCUCUAGUGAGAAAUGGGGGCUUAUAAAGAAACUUUUCCCCUAUGAAAAAUAAAGAAAUAAAUGAAAUGAAUAUAAAGAGCCACUACUCUUUAGUUCAAUUCUUGUUUCAAUGCCUUAGAAUAAACAAGAUGCCUGCUUUCCAAGGAUGCUGGUAAGAGGUAGGGUGUACAGACCACCCAAGUCUUCGAAUGAAAUCCUGCAUCUUUAUGAAUCUGAUCUAAAUAGUGAAGCUGUAUUAAAAGUAAAUCUUGCACAGUAUAAAACUAAAGUAUUCCAUAUAACAGUACUUCCAUUUAAAAUUUAUCAUGAGGAUAUAUCCACUGAAUUUUUUGCAAGUAUAAUAUUUGAACUCAUGACAAAAUAUGCUUCAUAUUAAACUUUAAUCAUAAUGUAGUUAUAAGAUUUCAGUGAGUGGGUGGAUUUUUAACAUAAUCAAAUAGACGAUGACAGAAUGUGGAGUUCCCAUUGUGGCUCAGUGGUUACGAAUCUGACUAGCAUCCAUGAGGACGCAGGUUCAAUCCCUGGCCUUGCUCAGUGGGUUAAGGAUCUGGCGUUGCCGUGAGCUGUGGUGUGGGUCGCAGACCUGGCUCAGAUCCUGCAUUGCUGCAGCUGUGGCACAGGCCAGCAGCUACAACUCUGAUUUGACCCCUAGCCUGGGAACCUCCAUAUGCCCCAGGUGUGGCCCUAAAAAGCAAAAAAAAAAAAACAAAACAAAACAAAAAACAAACCAGAAUGCAAAUUGUGAAUUUAUGUCAUAUACAAACAGUUGCAUAAUUCAAUAAGCCAUCAAAUUCACAGCAACAAACCUUAUUGAGAGAUGAAUGUUUGCUUUAAAACCACAAGGUCUUUUAGAGUCAGGUCCUGUUAACAUUCCGUCUUGUUCCCCAUCACCUACUCUUCUCCCUUGUUCUCUCACCCCACUGGAUACACAUGUCACUUCCUCUAGUGGGUGUUACACCCCCAACUUAAGCUCCCUUCAUAAAAAGGGUCCUUUUUGGACGUGAACACGCUAUCUUUGACAUCAUAGAGCAAUUUCUAUUCCCAUACUCUGAGGCUGGCCCCUGCUUUGCAUGGGUAUGUCCUUCCAUCCUGCCAACAGGGACUGUGUUCUAUUAAACUUGAACAUUCUGCUUUGCUUGGCAUGCAGUAGGCACUGGAUAAAUGCUUGAAGACUGAUACAGCAAAGGACUACCCAAAGUGAGGCCAGAAUCUUUUCCUUUCUUAAGUCUUGCACACUCAACAAAACAACUGACAUUUGUACUGGGUAUUUUAAUUUGAGCUAAGUCUUCAUUCAUACACUUCGGAAUAAAAUAUUACAAAUGGAAAAGCUACGAAUUCUAGGAUAUAAAAAAGUUGAUUACAAUGUGAGUGAUAGCACAAUUCUGAAAUGUGUCAUAUGCUUCUGCACCCUCUGGCAAAACGAUGAAAAGAAACAAACUUUCUCUAGUUCUAUUUCUGCCACUUACUAGACAUGAAAUCUUUCUGUAAAAUGAGGUCAAUAAUAUCUCCUCUUACCUCACAGAAUACUAAUAUGAAUAUGCAUUUGAAAAACCUUUCCCUAAGCUGAGCCAUAAAGCUUUAGUAUUAUUGAGUCUAAAAGCUGAUAUUCAGUGUAUUUUUUUUUUUUUUUGCCUGGAAAUGAUUGAGCCUGAUGAACAUUUAGCCCAAUCACUGUCACGCGUAUUGAGGGAGAAUUUUCCUUUGAGAAAUAAAAUAUUCAUCACUUCUAAUUAUAAAUGGUACUGUUGUCAAGACAACUUUUCUCAUGAGGGAUAGGAUUAUUCUAAAAUAGUCUUCUUUAACAAAUUUUUUAAAAAUCUCAGCACUUAUUUACAAAUGAAAAUACAUCAUCCCUACUAAUGUCUCAUUAAUCAAAAUACUCUCAGCAAUUCGAAAGAAAUGUUAUUUGGGAGCUGUUUCGGCAGGGUUCUCUUCCUUAGCUCUACUAGGGAAUUAGAAUUCAUGACACGAGAGCUUAACCAUGUAGCACUUCAAUUAAAAGCAGGGAGUCUGGAACUAAUGCUACCUAAGGAGCAGGCACAGUAGAGUCCGCAUGCCCCAUUAAUGUCUGGCUAUUGGGGUAAAAUGACAGUCUGAGGCAUGAAGAACAAAAGGGUAAUUGGAUAUAACAGGGAUCUCAUUUCAGCAAACAUGAAUCUACUUGGCCAUGCGCCUAUGAGCAGGAUUCACUGCAGUCCUGCAAAACAGGAGACAUUCUCAUACUGAAACUUGCGUAAGAUUCUAAGAAAGAUGUAUCCAAAAGAGUCAAUAUUCUAAAUCAUAAAAGUGCAGUGUUAAUCAUUAUUCAUAAGUUCAUAAUAAUAAAGUGCGAUUUUUAAAGCUCUUCCAUACCUCUUCUGAUUCUCUCAAAAACCCUGUGAA